rnacentral:rRNA from 1 species
CCUACGGGUGGCAGCAGUGAGGAAUAUUGGUCAAUGGGCGAGAGCCUGAACCAGCCAAAUCGCGUGAGGGAGUACUGCCCUAUGGGUUGUAAACCUCUUUUGUCGGGGAGCAAAAGCCGGACGUGUCCGGCUGUGAGAGUACCCGAAGAAAAAGCAUCGGCUAACCCCGUCCCAGACCCCGCGGUAGAAGGGGGACGGGGGGCGUUAUCCGUAUUUUUUGGUGUUAAGGGGUGAGCAGGCGGAUUUUUAGGUUAGCGUUCAAAUGGUGGUGCUCAACCCCAUCCAGCCGUGGAAACUGGGGAUCUAGAGUGGGCGAGAGGUAUGCGGAAGGCGUGGUGUAGCGGUGAAAUGCAUAGAUAUCACGCAGAACCCCGAUUGCGAAGGCAGCAUACCGGUGCACAACUGACGCGCAGGCACGAAAGCGGGGGUAUCGAACAGGAUUAGAUACCCGAGUAGUC